CGUCAUUGUCCUACUGCCACAGUAAGACGGUCGAGGUUCUGAAAACGGGAUACUUUUUCACUGGUAUUUACCGAAAUCUUGAAAGUUAAAGUCAAAGUGAUCAUCUAUAUUCCAUCUAUACCAGCAAGGCACAAGGUUAGCAACCAUGGUUAGCUCCCCAGAGGCUGGGAUAGUGCGAACGUUGAAGGAAGAGAGAGACAAAUUCGCCUGCCAGUUUGGCAGCCUGGAGAAGUAUUUGACAGAAGUCCGUGAAGAACGUGUUGCCAUGAACAGGCACACGAAAUCCUACAGAUCCGAACUUGCAGGUCUAGGUAGUUCUCAACAGGAAAAGCGCUUGAAAGGAAUCGAGUCCAGGCUUCAAACACUUCGAAC